UACGUAGGGUGCAAGCGUUAUCCGGAAUUACUGGGCGUAAAGCGCACGCAGGCGGUCUGUCAAGUCGGAUGUGAAAUCCCCGGGCUCAACCUGGGAACUGCAUUCGAAACUGGCAGGCUAGAGUCUUGUAGAGGCGGGUGGAAUUCCGGGUGUAGCGGUGGAAUGCGCAGAUAUCAGGAGGAACACCGAUGGCGAAGGCAGGUCACUGGGCCGCAACUGACGCUGAGGAGCGAAAGCAUGGGGAGCGAACAGG
rnacentral:rRNA from 1 species